rnacentral:lncRNA from 1 species
AAUUGUAAGCGUAGAACACGCUUCGUCGCGUUUCAAAUCUCAAACCUCCAUCUUCAUUCCUCGUCAAAUCCAUUCUCCUCAAUCCGCAUUCUGUUUCCGUUUUGCUCCGCAGCAACACCAUGCGGCGUCGUUUUCCGUUUCGAUUAUCGCCGUUCGCGUCGCCAUGAGAAUCAACUAGCUUAUCACAUUAGCUUCCAGG